AAUCUGGGGACAACGCUGCGGGCAUCGAGGCGGUGGCGCUUGAUUUCCUUUAAAGUACCUACCACGCCACCCGCUACCUGUAAUAAUCCAUCUGAAGAGGUCGCCGGGCAGCGCCUCGGCAGACAGACUGACCUGCGGGGAGGUGCGGUUUCCAGUGGCGCGGGACAGCCGGCUCCGAGAAGGAACUGGGACCUUUGCCUAGGGCAAGACGUCAACAGGAACCCGCAGGCCCGGCCUGGACACCUGCUGCCCUCACUGGAAGCUUUAACUCCCACUCGAGUCUCUUGGCGUCGUCAGUGCCAGGAGCGCUUGGAUUGGGAUGGGGACGGAGAAGGGUGCCUCGCUCGCCGAGCCCCGCUGCCCUUGGGGACCUGGCAAAGUCGAGGUUUCCUCACAGCGUUGAGAUUGAGACUGGGGGUCGGCAGCACUGAGAAGUGAAGGAAUAUUUGGGAGGAUCAGAAGCUUGGUCCUGAUUUUGCCAUCAACAGGAACUUGAUGACUUCAAGGGAGUCCCCAAACCCUGGGUUUCUGUUUUCUCAACUCUAACAUGAGGGGCUAGAUGCAUCUGGUUUAGUUAGUCUCCAUGAUGGUUUAGUUCGUCUCCAUGAUCCUGUGAAUUUCAGAUGUUGAAAAUCUUCGGAAAAGCCCUGAAAGAUGAACAGUGGUCUCAAAUAGUCAAGACCCCCUGCUGGGAGGAGCUUCUAUCCUGCUCUGUGGAAGAAAUGGGCAUGCCAGAUGCCUGGAAGAUCAGAGGCUCACAUUCCAGUUCAAAGUUAGAGAAACCUGAGAGGGGUGUACUGGUAUGACCACCCGAGAUCCCAUCGCUGAGAAAGAUAAUGGCCCUGGAGACAAAGACUGAUGAAGAAAGACAGUAUCCAGCUGUGAUGCAGAUGAAACAUGCGGCAUGGUUGCACUCACUAUGCAGCCAAGGCUGGAAGCCACUCUGGAUCCAGCCACUCUGGCACAGCGUUCUUGCUCUAGGAAGAACAACUGAACAUGGCCACACAGGCCUCACAGCUGGCAUAUGGAGGCUGUUAAUAAGCUGAGCUUGAGGCUUCAAAGGACUCUUGUAGCCUGUGCUGGAUCUAGCAGUGACCAGUAUGCCAG
rnacentral:lncRNA from 1 species